GACGAACGCUGGCGGCGUGCUUAACACAUGCAAGUCGAACGGAAAGGCCCUGCUUUUGUGGGGUGCUCGAGUGGCGAACGGGUGAGUAACACGUGAGUAACCUGCCCUUGACUUUGGGAUAACUUGAGGAAACUGGGGCUAAUACCGGAUAUGAGCUCCUGCUGCAUGGUGGGGGUUGGAAAGUUUCGGCGGUUGGGGAUGGACUCGCGGCUUAUCAGCUUGUUGGUGGGGUAGUGGCUUACCAAGGCUUUGACGGGUAGCCGGCCUGAGAGGGUGACCGGCCACAUUGGGACUGAGAUACGGCCCAGACUCCUACGGGAGGCAGCAGUGGGGAAUAUUGCACAAUGGGCGGAAGCCUGAUGCAGCAACGCCGCGUGCGGGAUGACGGCCUUCGGGUUGUAAACCGCUUUCGCCUGUGACGAAGCGUGAGUGACGGUAAUGGGUAAAGAAGCACCGGCUAACUACGUG
rnacentral:rRNA from 1 species